GUCUUGUUUGAAGAAUUUGAUUCAAUCUCUUGAGAUUGAAAUGAAAAAGGCUGAGGAGGAGGCUGAGAAAAAGAAGGUUAAGACUAAUGAAAAAUCAGAAGAAAAAGUGAAGGAAGAUGGUUUCACUCAUUAGUUUAGAUUUGAUUGAAUUCAAUAAAUCAAAAUAAUGUUUUUAAACUUUUUAUUAAAAGCAUAGUUAUGUAGUAUAUGUUUGAAUGUUAGAAUAUGAUUGUAUUAGUUGCUUUAUAAAAUCAUCAAAACAUUGUCUUAGAUUAUUGAAAAAGUUAGAAAUAGAAUAUACUUUUAAGAGUUUGUAUGAAAUGAAUUUUUA
rnacentral:lncRNA from 1 species